AGAUACCUCUCUAUCGCCUGACUUCUGCCUGUAUUUUUACUCUGAUUCAGCCUCAUGUUUUGGAUUCAUCUGCCUGUUUUAAUAUAAAAACUCUUAACCUGCAACUGUCACCAUCUCUGCUGCCUGACAUACAAAAUGCUUGUAGAGAUUCAAAGAAAACUCUUUGUCUGCAGUACGGACAAAAAGGAAAAGAAUCCUCUUUAUUAUCGUAACAAUAAAGAGGACCAUAACUACUUCAGGAGUACAGGAGAAAUUAUGGCAGCCACCCUGGCACAAGGUGAACCUCCACCAGCCUUUAUGCAUGAGCGUUGCUUCAGUUAUCUCUGCUCUGGUGAUUCUGACAAUAUACAAGUGACACUUAUAUACACUUGGAACUGUCACACCUUAUUGUGAAGGUA